UACGGAGGGUGCAAGCGUUAAUCGGAAUUACUGGGCGUAAAGCGCGCGUAGGUGGCUAUAUAAGCUAGAUGUGAAAUCCCAGGGCUUAACCUUGGAACUGCAUUUAGAACUGUGUGGCUAGAGUACAGCAGAGGAUAGUGGAAUUUCAGGUGUAGCGGUGAAAUGCGUAGAGAUGGGAAGGAACAUCAGUGGCGAAGGCGACUCACUGGACCAAUACUGACACUGAGGUACGAAAGCGUGGGUAGCAAACAGG
rnacentral:rRNA from 1 species